rnacentral:rRNA from 1 species
AACGUAGGUGGCAAGCGUUAUCCGGAUUUACUGGGCGUAAAGGGCGUGCAGGCGGUUUGUUAAGUGCAGGGUGAAAGCUCCCGGCUCAACUGGGAGAGGUCCUUGCAUACUGGCGAACUCGAGGGAGGCAGAGGAAAGUGGAAUUCCCGGUGUAGUGGUGAUAUGCGUAGAUAUCGGGAGGAACACCUGUGGCGAAGGCGGCUUUCUGGGCCUUACCUGACGCUGAGACGCGAAAGCGUGGGGAGCGAACCGG